CAAGGGACCUCCACAACAUCCACCAUCACCCAAAAGACCUCCACAGCACCCACCAUCUCCACAGUGUUUUCUACCAUCCAAGGGACCUCCACAUCAUCUUCUGCCACCCAAGAGACCUCCACAACACCCACCAUCUCCAACGCACCCACCACCUCCACUACAUCUUCUGCCACCCAAGGGACCUCCACAACAUCCACCAUCACCCAGAAGACCUCCAUAGCACCCACCACCUCCACAGCACCGUCUACCACCCAGGAGAUCACCACAGCACCCACCACCACUCAAGAGACCUCCACAGCACCCACCACCCAAGAGACCUCUACAACCACCUCUGGCCCAUUGUUUCCUCCAAGUGAGUCUCCUCCCCCCCACCUCUGCUCCAAAGGACCAUCCUGUCCCAAACCCCACCUCCACCCUUCCCAGCACCCAGUGGGUCCCACCAGGCCCAGGGUGUCCUCCAAGGUUCCCUGGUGACCCCCCCCAUCUUGGUUCUUUCCAGUCAUCUGCUGGAAUGGAGGCACCUACGAUGGCACCAAGUGUCUCUGCACCCCAUAUUUCUAUGGUCCCGUCUGUGAAUACUCCACCAACUCCAUUGACACCAAUCUCCCGGCGGAGACGGUGGUGGCAGACAUGGAGCUGGUGGUGACCGUCACCAACUUCAACUACACGGAGGACCUGAAGGACAACCAGUCGGACACCUACCGGAGCUUUGAGAAGCACUUCCGGACAGAGAUCAGGAAGAUCUACGGGAACAUCUCCGGCUACGAAGGCGUGAAGAUCCUCAACCUGACGCCUGGCAGCAUCGUGGUGGAACACCAGGUCUUCUUCACCACCAAAGAGAGCAGCAACACCACGGAGGAGUUUGAGAAGAUCACGAAGGACCUGGUGGAGAUGUUGGAACAGACCCAGGCCAACCAGGGGGCCUGCCAACACAACAGCUGUGAGUGCCCCCCC
rnacentral:lncRNA from 1 species